AAGUCGUAACAAGGUUUCCGUAGGUGAACCUGCGGAAGGAUCAUUAAAAGUUAAUAUGUAUUCAUCUCGAAUAUACAUUAUAAACCCACCUGUGUAUCAUACCCGUUGCUUCCGCGAGGCAGUGAUCUCGGUCACCUCCAGAAAAGGGACGGCGAAAGCCAGCCCUGGGAUGGGGAGCCCACGCGGGAGGUAUACAUCAAACUCUUUGAAUUUCCGUGUCUUCUGUCUGAAAACUGUUUUAUACAAAUUAUUAAAA
rnacentral:misc_RNA from 1 species